UGGGGAAUUUUGGACAAUGGGCGACGCAGCUGCAUCCAAGCAUGCCGCGUGCGGGAAGAAGGCCUUCGGGUUGUAAACCGCUUUUGUCAGGGAAGAAAUCUUCUGAGUUAAUACCUCGGGAGGAUGACGGUACCUGAAGAAUAAGCACCGGCUAACUACGUGCCAGCAGCCGCGGUAAUACGUAGGGUGCAAGCGUUAAUCGGAAUUACUGGGCGUAAAGCGUGCGCAGGCGGUUUUGUAAGACAGAGGUGAAAUCCCCGGGCUCAACCUGGGAACUGCCUUUGUGACUGCAAGGCUUGAGUGCGGCAGAGGGGGAUGGAAUUCCGCGUGUAGCAGUGAAAUGCGUAGAUAUGCGGAGGAACACCGAUGGCGAAGGCAAUCCCCUGGGCCUGCACUGACGCUCAUGCACGAAAGCGUGGGGAGCAAACAGGAUUAGAUACCCUGGUAGUCCACGCCCUAAACGAUGUCAACUGGUUGUUGGGAAGGUUCCUUCUCAGUAACGUAGCUAACGCGUGAAGUUGACCGCCUGGGGAGUACGGCCGCAAGGUUGAAACUUAAAGGAAUUGACGGGGUCAUAGCUGUUUCCU
rnacentral:rRNA from 1 species